UUUCCUCUUCACCCGCGUUACCUUGGAACCUGCUGUAAAUAUUCUGGGACGCCUUGGUGACGCUGCGGCGCCUUUAAGGGAGCCCCGGCAACCGUCUGGCUCCGUCAUGGGGGACGUAGAGCCCCCGGAGUCAGGUUUGGAAAUGGUCCCUUUGAACGCCCCCACCCCGUGCCCUCGUUUUGUUAAAGAUAAAAACAUACAUGAGAAAUAUUGAUUGCCAAAAUGAAGUCAGCAACUCUUCUAAACUUAGGUAAUGAAUUGACAAGAAGCCAGCAGUGACUGUGUAUGAGUCUUCAUCUGGAAAAUGACUAUUUGAGGAAAAGUCUGGAGCAUUUUAUUUUUUGUUAUGGAGGAAAGAGGAAGGAGUCUGGAUUCUGGACACAGCAGAAAAUCAGACAGUGAUAAAAGCAGUAAUUCGUAUUACUCUGAUGAUGAUUCAUCUCAUGCAUCUGAUCACUCACCAACUAUCAGCACUCAGUCUAUACGUACUGUAAACAGAAGUAAUAAGAUACAGAACUUGAAAAGCCAUGCAGAUUAUCAUGCCACAAAGCAACUUUCCUCUAAAUAUGCACCCAGCAAGAGAGGAAACCGCUGGGGUUUUUACUCCCAGAGCCUCAACAGGGAGUCUCCUGCCAAAGAUAUUAGUCUUGUUACAAAAAGAGUGCUUUCUGCUAGGCUGCUGAAAAUUAACGAGCUUCGUAAUGAACUGACUGGGCUGCAUGUCAAACUUGAUGAGUUGCAGAAAGAAAAUAGGGCACUAAAGCAGCUUCAGUACAGACAUGAGAAAGCCCUCCAUAAGUUUGAAGACACAGAAAAUGAAAUCUCUCAACUUCUGGCACGGCAUAAUGAUGAGAUGAGAAUACUAAGGGAGCGCUUAAGAAAAUCACAAGAAAGAGAACAAACAACUGAGAAGAAACUCAGGGCUUCAGAAGAAGAGCUAUUCAAGGCUAAAGGUAGUUUGCAAAAACUGAAAAAACUUGCAGAGGAUAAGCAUCUCCCUGAACGUGAAGAGCUGGCUAAGAAGCUGGCACUUGCAGAAAAUAGAUUGGAUGAUAGCGAGAAGAGAAUUAAGGAUUUUGAGAAGAAGCUUGAUCUUAGCAAUAGCAGCUUCCAGAGACAAUUGCAUUCUGAGAAAAAGAAAUUGUAUGAAGCCCAAGAAGAAAAUAAGAUUAUCCAAGAGGAAGUCCAACGGUUAAAACAAAAAUUAAAGGAAAAAGAGAGAGAACUAGAUGCAAAAAAUAUAUAUGCUAAUCGUAUGUUAAAACAUUCACCCAAAAAACAUGUUGAUAUUACACCAAGAAAAAAAGUUAUUGAUAAAAAUACUACAAGAGAAGUACAGAACACAAAAGGGGUACAGACUACUGGAUACUUUUCCCCAAUAGAAUUUCCAUUGCCACCAGACUUCAUUUCUGAUGAAAUACCAGAGAAAAAGGAAGAGGAUGGGCAUCUCCAACUGGAACAGAUAGUUAAAGACUGGAAAGAACAAGCAGAACAUUUGAAGCAGGAGCAGAACAGAGAAAGGGAAGAGAGACUAAAAAAUGAACAAGAACUCCAGGCAUUGGAAGAAAGAGCCAAGAAACUAAGAGAUGAAUGGGAGAAAGAAGAAUUGGACAGAAAGAAGAAAGAAAAUAGUAUUUUGCCUGAAAGUGAAAAAGUAAAGAUAGAGACAGAAAUAUAUAUUUUAGAAAAAGAGACACUAAAUCAUGACAGAACAGAAGAGGAAAGACGAAAAGAAAUUCUGCUUGCUAAGAUGUACGAAAUCGACAGGGAAACUCAAAACAAUAUAAAGACUGCUUCCCAAGAAAUUAUCACAGAUACUGUCACUGUACCUUAUAUAUUGGAAAAAAAUAAGAAACUAUACCAAUUGUCAGAGACAACAGAGAAAUUGUCUAAUGGUUUACCAGAACCUGACCGCUUUAGUAUGGUUACCAAAGAAGAAAUCCAGAAGCAGCAACCUACAGACAUCACAUGUGCAAGCAAUGAUUUGAUAUUUGGUAGUUAUGUACCUUCCUUUGGGAAAGGGUCAGGGAGGCCAAGCUGGCUUAAUCAAAAAAUUGACUUCUUAGAUGAACUCGCUAAGGAAAAUGUAAGUCUUGAUACUAAGAAAGAGAGAAAGUCUAAUUUAAUGGAGCAGCUGUUUGGUAGCAGUGUCAAUACAAUCACUCCACCUAAGAGAAAUGAUUUUCAACAAGACAGUAGUACAAACAGUGGUUUUCAGGCUAAAGGCACCAUGGUCAACAUUAAAAAUGACACUGAUCUUUUUUUUAGUGAAGGAAAGAGCUUUAAUCCCCAAAGACACCGACUGCAACACACAGCAAAUAGACCAGCAGUUAAGGCGUUUGAUUGCUUAGAAGAUGACAUUGAGGAAGUAUUAUUGCAGUGAUUUUAUUCUGUAAAAUAUGUAAAUAGUAUAUAUUUAGUAUGUUUAUAGUUUUAAAUACUUAUCAGAUAUUAUAAAUAUGAAGUGAUUGACAUUAGGUUAUAUAGCUUGGGGAAUGAUCAAGAAUGCAGCUUUCUAUUUAGUGCCCUAAGCAAAAAUGGUGACAAUUAACAGAUAAAACAAGAUGUACUUGACUAUGGUUAUCUUCCUGUUUUUAUUCUAUUAAUAGAAUCACUUGUCCCUCUACUUGGAAGAAAAUAGUGUUCUCUACAUAUUUUUCAUCAGUCACUUCAAAUUGACACCUCAGUAGCACAACCAAAUAAAUGGGGAUGCUUUUUGAAUUUAUCCAUGCAAAGAUAUAGCCAAGAAUCCUUUCUUUUUAAAAGCAUCUUUCCACCACCAUUUUGUUAAGUAUCUCUUGUAGAGAGUGCUUCCUUUAUGGAGAAUCUUAAGUUUUUAAAAUUGAGGGUGCAGGCAAAACAAUUAAUGCAGAAAAGACUGGAUUGUCCUUUUAACCUUAAUUUAUGUUCUAGUUUUGCAUAAUAAGCCUAAAUGUUUGUUUUAAAUUUAAUAGAUGUUUAUCAGCCUCGGUCAUUUAAUAAAAUUGACUGUAAGACUUGAUGGCAAUAUAGAGAAUGUUGUAAUUUGUUAUUACAUAUCUUCUGUUGGAAAGCUUAUGAGAAAAAUGUUUAAUAGAGAAACAAAAAAUGUAUGGCCAUUAAAUUAACCUACACUUUAAUUGUACCAUGCCAGCUCUAUUAAAAAACUACAAUACAAUAACUGGGUUGUGAAUUACUGACAUGAAUAUAAUCAAUUUAGCAAAUGAAGUAUUUGUGCAAUGCAACUUUGGUGAUUAUGCUAAUGUUCCUAGUGGGCUGCACCAAAUGUCUAUAUCAAUAUAGAAUAAAUAGUUGAAAAAUAUUUAGAAAGAUGAGCAAAGGAGUUGGCUAGCCUAUGCCUGAAGCCGGCAAUUAGAUCUACAUUUUGUUUUGUUUUUCAUUUUGGCUACAGACAAUUGCCUCAGACUCAGGAACUUCAUUUCCAUGCUCCAUACUAAACACAGAAAACGAAUGAGAAGGAUGCUGGGUGCAUUACUAUGAAUGUGUAGAACUCUUUAAACCUAAGGCUUGUAUCCAGUCCAUCUGGACAGAUAAUCAUGUUCUUAUUAUUUUCUGAUUAUCUCUUAAGCAAGGCACAAGAUCCCAAGUAACUGCAGUUAAAGGCAAGAAAAACAUUAAUGUGCUAGAGUAAGGUUCAGAGCUAUGGAAAUACAAAGGAGAAGGCUCUCAGUUACCACAGAACUUAGUUGAGAAGUAAUUCUACAAGAGGAAAGCAGCAAAGCUUUCCAUUUCCAACAGUACCAUGCUGCAUCGUUCUCAUUUUCAUUACUCUUGGCUAGUCUCAAUGUUGAGGUGUCAUGUUUACUAGCAGAAAUUGUGGGUUCAGGCAGUACCAAGUAGCGUUUAGUUUUUUAGUUUCCCAGACUGCUAGUUUAGCCUCCAGGCUACUUGAGCAUUUGGAGAAAGAGUGCAGUGGACUCUAAGGAAAGAUUCCUGUGACACAUUGGCAAAACAAAAGGCUUUUAUGCAGCCUGAGUUUUAGUAUUCUACUCUGUAAUCAUCCAGAAUUCACACAUGUGGGGUUUGGUUUAUCAUAGAUAUUUUCUAGCUUCCAAUUAGAACCAAGAUAGGAGGAUGACAUUUUUGCUAUCAGUACUUCUUCAGAAACAACUAGAAAUCCUUGCAUUUCUAAUGCAAAACUAACGAUUUUGUAUUUUUUAUUUUAAGAAAUUAUCACUGAGAAGAAAUAGAGUCUGCAUUAUACACACACAUACUAUUGCU